rnacentral:rRNA from 1 species
AUUGAACGCUAGCGGCAUGCCUUACACAUGCAAGUCGAACGGCAGCGGGGGAGCUUGCUCCCGCCGGCGAGUGGCGAACGGGUGAGUAAUACAUCGGAACGUACCCAGUAGCGGGGGAUAGCCCGGCGAAAGCCGGAUUAAUACCGCAUACGCCCUACGGGGGCAAGGGGGGGACCGCAAGACCCCUCACUAUUGGAGCGGCCCGUGGCUGAUUAGCUAGUUGGUGGGGUAAAGGCCUACCAAGGCGACGAUCAGUAGCUGGUCUGAGAGGACGACCAGCCACACUGGGACUGAGACACGGCCCAGACUCCUACGGGAGGCAGCAGUGGGGAAUUUUGGACAAUGGGCGAAAGCCUGAUCCAGCAAUGCCGCGUGUGCGAAGAAGGCCUUCGGGUUGUAAAGCACUUUUGUCAGGGAAGAAAUCGUUUGGGUUAAUACCCCGAGCAGUUGACGGUACCUGAAGAAUAAGCACCGGCUAACUACGUGCCAGCAGCCGCCGUAA